UCCAAAUUCUUGAAUUGGAUAUGGAUUAGGCCAAAGAAGCUGGAGAAAUUCCUGAGACAGCAAGGUUCCCAUGGAAAUUCUUACAAGCUUUUCCAUGGAGACUUAACAGAAAUGAAGGCGGCUACGAGAGAAGCCAUGUCCAUACCCAUCAACUUCUCCAACGAUAUUUUUCCUAGAGCCAGUCCCUUCUACCACAAAGCUUUACAAAAAUACGGUGAGAAUUGCUUUGUCUGGUUUGGGCCAAGACCCGCGGUCUUAAUCUCCGAAGAAUUAUGUUUUUCGAGAGAUCAUGUCGAAGAAUUAUGUUUUUCCGAAGCCUCAUGGAAGACCGGUUAAACGACUGAUCGCAAGAGGGUUGGCCUCGCUUGAGGCCGACAAAUGGAGCAAGCACAGAAAGCUCAUUAAUCCGGCGUUCCAUGUCGACAAAUUGAAGCAUAUGGUUCCAUCUUUCUACUUGAGCUGUGGUGAUAUGUUGAGCAAAUGGGAUGAGAUUGUGGGAAAUGAAGGAUGUUGCGAAGUGGAUGUGUUGCCUCAUCUUCAGACAAUGACGAGUGAUGUGAUUUCAAGAACUGCGUUCGGGAGUAGCUGCGAGGAAGGGAGGAAGAUAUCGCGUCUACAAAGCGAGCAAACGAAGCGUACCGUGGGAGAGGAUCGAUCUAUCCACAUCCCGGGAUACAGGUGAUGCAUGCAUGUAUGUAUACAUAUAAGGGCAUCUUUAACGGGGUGCGUAUCAUUUUACACGGGGUGCACAUGCGUCGUUGCAUCUUGUGUACAUGCGCGCAACGUUUUACACGCAGUUUGGGGUAGAAAAUACACAGCCGUGCACAAUACGGGGGCGAUGAUGCGAAGGAGUUCAAGCCGGAGAGGUUUGGGGAUAUUGGCGUGGCAAAGGGGGCGUAUUUUCCCUUCGGGUGG